CAUUCAAUCAAAUAAACAUCGGUUUGAUGUGCUUCUUACUUUAUUUCAUUUUAAUUUAGUUUAUUUAAGGUGCAAUAAGUAUGUUUUGUAACAUUGCUACCGAGCUUAGUUGGCCCAUCUCUGAAAACUUAAUCUCAAAAGGACCGCAAUCCUAAUGUUAUAUGGAGAGAGAAAAAACACAUUCAAUGUCAAUAUUUUCAAUAUUAACAAAUGUUCAAUGUAUUUUCUCACCGGUGAAAGCUGCAAUUGUUUUUUAAUUAAAAUGUCUAAGCAAGGAUUUAUAAUGUUCACUCUCUGACAAUGUGAAUGUUACACACACAUACAAACAUGAAACCGGGAUAUUUCCUGAGCUCUGAGUUCAGUUCGUGAUGACCGAAGCAAUAGCAACACAGCGAGGGGAGCAGGGAAAAGGAGUUUGAGUAGAAAUUAAAAAAGAGGAUAAAUUCAUAUUAUUUAAAAGCCUGAGGAAGACUGUGUGCAGUUCUGGGCAUUGCAUCACAUGAUAAACACACAGAAGCCCAAGACUCCUCUUCUGUUCCAGCUGCUGGUUGCUCUGUUCCUCCCGACAACCUUGAGUGCCUGCAGGACCUUGGACAGCAGCAACCUCACCUACAGGUUUCCUCACCUUGCUACCUGUCCAUGAUUCCGUCUAAACACACCCAAGGGAAUCAGGGAAGCGGACGAGGCAGCGAGGAGGGCAGUUUUCAUUAAGACUGGGAUUCGCACAUCAUCGCCCCCUGCAGUAUCAUCCCGACCCUGACACCUGCAGCACCUGCUGUACACACUGCAGCCCUGUUCUCUUUUACUCAGACUUCAGAAAGGAAAGGGGACAGUCUGCCCUCGUUUCUAUUUUCUGCUUCAUUCAGGCAGUGGGAAAGCAGAGAGGGUUACAGAUGGAGGCGGGAAAAACAGCACAGACGGUGCCACUGCAGCAGGAUUCAAACCCGCAAUCACCAAGGAGUCGCCCCACGGACCACACAAAACAUCCCACCAAAGUCUGAGUUUUCCUGCCUACUGUCAGUCUUACUGAUGAAAGUAAAACAUAAAACUGCUUUCAAAAUAUCCAGGACAAAUGAGUUCACAACUCAAGCAGUUCUGUGGAAACGGCUCUUGAAUUAUUUAAGUUUUCUGCAGUCAGAGGGGAGAAUAAAUUUGCCUUCCUGGUUCUAACUGCUCAGUUCUUUUUAAUCUCCCUCUGAGAUUAAAAAGUAAGCAACAAUAAAAUAAACCAGAAUAUUUAUUCCA